GACGAACGCUGGCGGCGUGCCUAACACAUGCAAGUCGAGCGGGAUCCAUCUGGUGGCAACACCGGGGAAGAUCUAGCGGCGAACGGGUGAGUAACACGUGAGAAACCUGCCCCGAACUUCGGGAUAACACGGGGAAACCCGUGCAAUACCGAAUACCCUCUACCGGUCGCAUGGCCGGAAGCGGAAAGAUUCAUCGGUUCGGGAGGGUCUCGCGGCCUAUCAGCUAGUUGGCGGGGUAACGGCCCACCAAGGCAUCGACGGGUAGCUGGUCUGAGAGGACGAUCAGCCACACUGGGACUGAGACACGGCCCAGACUCCUACGGGAGGCAGCAGUGGGGAAUCUUGCGCAAUGGGCGAAAGCCUGACGCAGCAACGCCGCGUGCGGGAUGAAGGCCUUCGGGUUGUAAACCGCUUUCAGCAGGGAAGAAAAUGACGGUACCUGCAGAAGAAGCCCCGGCCAACUACGUGCCAGCCGCCGCCGUAA
rnacentral:rRNA from 1 species